GGAGACACUUGCUCCAGCAUCUGGCUGGCAUCAGUCAUUUGUUCAUUUGCUUUGUGCAAUAGCAUCAGCCCUGGUGACUGAUCCAGAAUUGCUGGGAUAUGGCAGCAACACCUGAACUGCUGUUACAGAAUGAGUCACUGAUGUAUAAACCAAGUGAGUGUAGAGGAAAAGAGGACCACAGUGAUGGCUAAGUGAGCUGUUUCAAAAAAACAUUUGCCUGUCCUUUAAAGGAAAAAGGAGAAAAAAGGCAGGAAGCUAAAAAGAAUGGUCAACAAAGCCAAAUGAAAACUUGAAAGUUUUUUGCUUUUUUACUAAAUAACUUGAAACUGAGGAAAACCAAAUCUCUCUGAAGUUUGGUUUGGCCCUUUUUUUCACCCUAAAACAUGUGGAUGUGCAGUAAGAUGGAUGAAAUCUUACUGUGAGAAACGGGCUCGUGGUGAAGGUCCCGCUGGUGGGUCUGAAGCAGCUUCUUGCUAAGCUGGCACAGCUCACCCUCAUGGCUGGCAAUUCUACCUUACUUCAGCCUACAAAGGACACUCUGUCAUACCA